rnacentral:rRNA from 1 species
UACGAAGGGGGCUAGCGUUGCUCGGAAUUACUGGGCGUAAAGCGCGUGUAGGCGGGUCGGCAAGUCAGGCGUGAAAUCCCCAGGCUCAACCUGGGAACUGCGCUUGAAACUGCCGGUCUUGAGUAUCGGAGAGGGUGGCGGAAUUCCUGGUGUAGAGGUGAAAUGCGCAGAUAUCAGGAGGAACACCGGUGGCGAAGGCGGAUCUCUGGGCCGAUACUGACGCUGAGGAGCGAAAGCGUGGGGAGCGAACAGG